GGCAUGGUACCAGCACGUCGAUGAAAGAGAGGAAAUGUCAGAAUUAAGCAAAGGCACAUACGAGACAUUAGUUUAAAGACACAUCAGUGGCAAAAUAAACCAUUAAAAUAAUGUUGGGCAGCUGGUUUAAAGUUUAGAGAAUAUUAAGCUACAGUCCUCCUUUGUUUCUUACGUCGAAAUUAAUUUCAGAUGGUUCAAAAUUCAAAUCUAAGACCUAGAACAUUGAAAGUCCUAGAAGAAAAAAAAAUAAAAGUCCUAGAAGAAACCACAGAGAAAUAGUUCUACGAUCUUAAGAUAAGAAAGUCGUCCUACGUUCUAUGUACGAAGACGACAACGAACAAACAAAAACCCAACAGCAACAACUUCAGAGCCUCAAGGAAACACUGAAAUAUUUGACUACAUGAAAAUAAAUCUACUCCCCCAUCUGUCAGGGAGGGAUGAGACUUUGUGAUCAGCAAAGACACAUCCAGUUUUCAUAUGCCCCCGAAUGAUAAUACAGGCCCCAAGAGUUAGGAAUGCGUUGUCCCCAGCAUCCUGUGCAUAGCGGGUGCUGAAGAAAUCAGGCUCUACGAUGAUGAAGAUGAAAGUAAUCAUGAAAACAAGAACAAUGUGAUCAGUUAGGUCAAUUUUGAAAGAAAGAUGGUUACAGAUUCAUCCAUCGAAGUGACUAGUCAUCUGACCUUGCCCUCCUUUGCAGAAAGCAUAGAGUCCUCCCGCACAUCACCAGACUGAAACAGGACGCCCCUCCCUCCUCCCCGAGCACUGAGAUAACGUUUGUAGCUGGCACCAUCGAGUCUGUAGGACGUCAAGAAAUGUUGCAGGCCACGGCACUCCCUUUGCUGAUUAACUACCCUAAACCCCUUUCAAAGCCCCCUGGGCCAGGCGGAAACCUCAGAGUGGGCCUUUGAACAAGAGUCCGCCUUCUCCCCGGGCUGCCGGCCUCCCAAAUAAAGCUCCUAUUCCUUGCCAAUCACAA